rnacentral:misc_RNA from 1 species
CAUGUUGUAGACUUGAAAAUAUUUAUUUACAAAAAUAUGCGUUGAAAUGAACAGAACACCCAUCUAAUCUAACUAAACAUUAUCUGGCCAGAAUUCCCUGAAGAAUGCUCGCUCAAAUUCUUUCUCCUGCAUCCGCUUCUCAAACUCCAAUACUUUCUUCAUCUUUUUAGACAUUCCCUUUGUUUUACUCUCUUUGUUCCCAUCUUUUAAGAUCUUCCUAUCAGAGAAAUGUUCGGGACAUUUUGGGUGCACUGCUGCCUUCUUUGGCUUCUCUGCUCCCAAUCCUCUCUUAUUUUUCUUGAUAUAAGCUGGCACAGGUUCCAAUCUUCCCUGUUGAGCAAUGCCAAGUCCAGUUCCUUCUUUCCAGCCAUGCUUCUUUAACAACUUAAAACCAAGGUUGGAGGAAUCAAUAGGAAUGGAAGUUGAACAACUCAUUCCUUCAUCCGAUCCCAUAACUCACUCCAACAAAAAUCAACAAUCACCAAAUUUCUUUCUCUCGAAUUCAG